UUCCACCUGGCAGGUUUCCAAGUGAGGUCACAGGAGAGAGGAAUCUGAACUCACUGGGCCUUGACUAGUGACCAGGAGCUUGCUGAGCAACUGAAAGGAGGGAUGUGGCGGCAGGAGGUGCAGGGACCCAGAGAGCCCACCUGGAAAGGACGCCCCUGCUGUCUCGUCCCUGGGAGACUUGAUGAGCACAGCCCCUGGCCAGCCAGUGACGGAUGCCGACGCCACAGGGGAAUAACCCGGGCUGUGUCAGCAUGCCAGAGCCCACCCAGACUGGCUAAGAAGGUUGCCCGAGCAGCUGAAGAGACGUGCAAGUGGGCGGCUGUCCACACCUCCCUGCCUGGCAUCUAGCUGGCCUCCGGAUUUCCCACCCCACCCACUCUGUCCCCCUGACCCCGCGGGCUGACCUCACUCCCAGCCUGGCAAGUCAGAGCCCCGAAUCCUGCCGAACACCACGAGCAGUUUGGAGCGAGCCAGCAGGGGCCGACGAGAGAGGAGAAGCGCUCUUCCUGCCGGGGUUGCUGUGAGGCUGAACCAUGACCCCGGGACGGCUGGCAGGCCUCCUGCCCUGGUGGGGCACUGGCAGGAGACGACUCUGGGGAAAACGGCCCGGAGAUGCCCAGCAGCUUUUCAGGUCCAGAACCAGUAAGGCCUCUGCUUACACCAAUCUGACUGGGUUCCUGUCACUUGCAAUGGAGAAGGCCCUGAUUAACAGAGACCAACACAGGGUCUGUUUACCUAUGGUGCCCGAAGAUCCUCUGCGGUCAGAAGUCUGAGCCGUCCCUGUGACUGGUCUCAGCUGACCACGGGAGGAGGGACUCAGCAAGUUUGGUACUUGGACAAUCUCUGCAUGUCUGGAAGUGCCCUUCAAUUCCGUAAUCCAGGCUCAAAUGCCCCCAGUGUCCUACAAAGGAGUGACGGCCUUCCAUCUGCUCACAAAGUUCCAGGGCCAGCAAGCUCACCACCUCUUCAGACUGUAUUUCAUGCAGCUCUGAUUUUUACAAAGC